AUUGAACGCUGGCGGCAGGCUUAACACAUGCAAGUCGAGCGAGCGGCGGACGGGUGAGUAAUGUCUGGGAAACUGCCUGAUGGAGGGGUAUAACUACUGGAAACGGUAGCUAAUACCGCAUACCAUCAGAUGUGCCCAGAUGGGAUUAGCUAGUAGGUGGGGUAAUGGCUCACCUAGGCCACGAUCCCUAGCUGGUCUGAGAGGAUGACCAGCCACACUGUAACUGAGACACGGUCCAGACUCCGACGGGAGGCAGCAGUGGGGAAUAUGGCACAAUGGGCGCAAGCCUGAUGCAGCCAUGCCGCGUGUAUGAAGAAGGCCUUCGGGUUGUAAAGUACUUUCAGCGAGGAGGCGUUACUCGCAGAAGAAGCACCGGCUAAAGACGAGACAGCAGCCGCGGUAAUAC
rnacentral:rRNA from 1 species